GCCUGAUGAGCGGUGCCAUGUCCGCGCCCAGGAUCCGAACCGGUGAAACCCUGGGCCGCGGAAGCAGAGCGCACGAACUUAACCACUCUGCCCGGGCCAGCCCGCAGGUGCAGUUCUGAUGACUGAGAACUUCAAAUCGUUUUUUCCCCUCUAUCUUUUAGACUAUCUUCCUUUAAUACAGUGAUCGAUAUGUUAACACUCAUCUGCCAUUUUAGUGUCUCCUGUUCAUUUUGUUUUCCUUCUCUGUUUGCUUUUUUCUGCUUCCCAGGGGCUAUUUAAACAUGUUUUAGAAUGCCAUUUGGCUUUAUCUCAGUAUUUCUGAGUAUAUAUGUUUGUAUAGAUUAUUCAAGAGGUUGCUUUUGGGAUUAGAGCGUGCAUAUACUAGAACAUACGUAUGACGUGUAUUACACGCGACUUACCUAGCCCACUAUUGUUGUCAUUUCACCAUUUUGAGUGAAGUACACAAAUCUGACCUCCCUUUACAGCUUUUUACCCUCCCCAAUUUAUAACUUAAUUUUCUUUAAUAAUUUCUCCACGUGCAUUUAGAAGUACAUCAGGGAAUACUGAAACGUUGCUUCAGCCACCAAACAUGGUUCAGAAAACUCAAGAGUGGAAAGAAAGCAUAGCGCAUUUACCCAUAUUUUUACUCGCUAUGUUCUUUCUGCUUUCUUGAUGUUCCAGGGUUAUUUCUUUUAUCAUUUCUUUGCUGUUGAGAGAACUUUCUGUAAUCAUUCUUUUAGGAUAGGUCUGCUAGCAACAAGUUCUCUGAGUUUUUGUUCAUCUGAGAACGUAUUUCCCCUUAAUUUCUGAAGGAUACUUUCACUUUCUCUGGUAUACAACAGGGGGUUGACUGUUCUUUACACUCUGCACUUGAAAAUAUUGCGCCAUCUCCUUCUGCUCUCCAAAGAUUACUGAGGAGAAAUUCUCUGUCAUUCAAAUUAUUUUUCAUCUUCUUGGAAGGUGUUUUUUUCCCUCGUCUGGCUGCUUUCAAGACUUUGUCUUUAAUGUCCAGAAUCUUAAAUAGGAUAUGUCUUACUCUGGAUCAUUUUAGUUUCUCCUGUUUGGGGUUCUCUCAGGUUCCUGUAUCUGAGGGUUUAGGUCUUUUGGCAAAUCUGGGAAGUUUCCAGCCAUUAUUGCCCGGAGCGCUCUUUCAGAGCGACCCUCUUUCUCCUCUCCUUCUGAAUUCAGAUGACAGGAAUGUUAGAAAUUCUAUUCAAAUAGGUUUUUCCCUUAGUGGGAACUCCACAACUAGUAGAACCCAGAGAUAAGGCCAUGGGUGAGGCAAUGGCCUCACUUUAGGACCCCAACAUCACUUUGGGGUGACCAUGUAAAGAAGUAUGGAUGCUGAUAUUUAAAGGCAGAUGGGGCAGGGCAUCUUCAAAGGUCAGAAGUCAACUUGGCUUGGCCUCAAGGCCAUCCAGAACACAACAUGCCCAGGACCAAACGUUGGUGAGGAUGCAACCAACACAAGCAUAGGGCCACUGCUGUGGGAGUACAAAUUGGUGCAACCACUUUAGAAAACAGUUUGGCAUUACCUAAUGGAGGUAACGCGUGCAAUCCUAUGACCCAGCUCCACUCAAACCCUGAGACGUGGACAAGAACAUCCACAGCAGCCUUGCUGACAAUGGCAACCACCCCAAAUGCCUGUCACCCAUAGAAUAAAUACAUAACCUGCAAGCCAAUCUUCCAAUGAAAAACUACCCAGCAGUGAAAAGGACAGAACCACUACUGCACGCAUCGCCAUGCACAAAACUCAAAACCAUAUUGUGCAAUGUGUACAAAACAAUGUGUACAGCAUGUUUCCAUUUAUACACAAUUCAAGGACAGGCAAAAAUAAACAUCCUAUUGUUUGGGGAUACGUGAGUGGUAAAACUAAAAAGAAAAGCAGAAAAUGAUUAGUACAAAAUUAGGGAUAGUAGUUAGCUUUGGGAAGGGGCACACAGGGGUUUCUACAGCUUGGUAAUGUUCCAGUCAUUAAUUUAGGUGUUGAGUACAUGGGUAUUUUGCUAUUAUUCUUUAGACUAUACACAUAUGUUUUAAAAACUCUUCUUUUUUCCAUAGGUGAUAUACUUCACAUUUUAAUUUUUUAAAUUUAUAGACUAAAAAAUAGAAAAUGGCCUAGGGGCAGGAUAGAGCAAAUUCAAGCCGCCAUGAGUGUUUAAGGGGCACUCAAUUCUCCAUACCCUCAGAUAACAUGCUCAAACACUCCCUAUAACAUUAGGAAUGAAGCUUUUGGGUGCAAGAAAAAACUCGACUAGCAGUGACUUAAAUAAUAAGGGCAUUCAAUUAUCUCUCAUAACAAGAAGGGCUGAAAGUAGCUGAUUAAGGGUUGAUCCAAUGGCUCAGUGAUGCACUUCUCUGACAUUCUCCUAGAGGCAGAAUAUGGCUGCUGGAGCUCCAGACAUCACAUCUUCACCCAACCACUUCUAAAUAUAGGAAGUAGAGAAUCCUCCAGGAUGAUGAGAAAAACUUUACUCAUAUGCCCAUAUCCUUUCAUCAAGGGGAAAAUAUUUCCUAAAAAGUCCCCAGCAGAGUCUCACUUACAUCUCACUGGCCAGAACUGGGUCACUUAACACUGCUAGCCACAAGAGAGGCUGGGAAAGUAUCUGCCCUUUUCAGCCUCCUUGUGAGAUGGACAAGGAAGGAUGACAAGGAAAGAGAGGGCAAGAAACCACAAUGUUUAUCCUAACCCACCUCCAGCUCUAGGCAAAUUAAGUCUGUCUGUCCCACCAUUGGUGCCCUCAGAUCUGUCAAAUAACCCAGGUCCCACUUCAUGUGGAAACUGGAGUCCAUACCUCCCAGCCCCAAAACACGCUGCUGAGAUGGAUCUGUCUCCUCCACGAGAUGUUUGAGGGUGCUCUGAAUUGCCUUUGCUCUCCAGCCCCCAAUUCAUGACCUGGCAGAGUGAUAACCCUCACUCUGUCAGUCAAUGGACACUAUCCGAUGAAGGAAGUCAGCAAAUCCCUACUGCUAACAUGAUCUGGCCAGGCUGAGCUCUAGUGUACGAUGGGACCCCAACGCUAGCGGCCCACAGCCAAGGGAGAAGCUAGUGGAGGAGGCACUAGGCACUUUACACACUGGCUGCAAACUAACUGGAAAACUGGAGCAUCAAGGGCCCAAAGGUUUGCUUGGGUGGCGGGCCACAGCAGCAAAGCUCCAAGAGGAAGGAGCAGAAAGCCAGGCAGUGCCGGCUACAGUCCUGCAGACAAUGACUGCCCGGCACUUAAAAGACAGUGGCCCUGGAGACAGGGCAUGUGCUGUCCUGUUUGCCACGGUCCCCACCUGUUCCCCCAAUGCUGAGGCCAAGGGUGGGCUGCUGUUUACCCUCACACUCUCAUGGCUGUUCUUACCCUUGGCCAAUUCCCAAAUUUGGCUUUCCCUCCUGGCCCUGUAGGCACUUGAGUUCUGGAUCCUUGAACUAAAGCACUGAAGAUGGUCAACUUUCUUGUUCUCUGGUGAAAAUAACAAGUCUACUCUCACAUCAAUGCCUCCGUUCGCUCUGGGGCAUUGAGGGGAGCGAUUGAAGUCAAAGACUCAAUGCCUGUUCCCAAAGAGAUGAAAACCAGCCCCGCUGGCUGGCUGGGCACCGGUGACUGGGUCCACACAGGAAGCUGACAGGCAGAAUGCUAUGUGGGGUGCCAUCUUUCUGCAGUGGCUCAAACGCUGCCCUGGCGGUUACUCUAAAGCCUGGAUAUUCAUGAUUGUCACACGGUGUGUCAUUCCAGGAAACCUGAGAACUGAGCGACGAUGAUAAAAUUAGGCAGUAAAAUAAAAGCCAGGAGGAUGCAUGAAGGUGACUCAUUUGGUAGCAUUUCUGAAAUAAUAAUAACUAGUGCUCAUAUGAAGCUGACCGUGCGCCAGCCACUCUUCUAAGUGCUUUUACACAGACUAAUUCACUUAAUCUCCACAAAAGCCCUAGGAGCUGAGUAUCCCUGGGUCAGAUGCGGUGGGGUAGUCAGCCCCUACAUGUGAGCCUCACCUCCUGCCACCUCCCCACAUUGAAUCAGGGACGACCUGUGUAACCAGUAGAAUACUGCAGAGGAGGCAGCGUGCCUUCCAAGGCCGGCUCACAAAGGGCAUCGCAACUUCAGGCUGGGUCUUUGGGACUGCUCGCUUGGGGGAAGCCAGGCGCCACGCUGUGAGGACUCCCAAGCAGCCCCAUGGCGAUGUGCACGUGGAGAGGAAGGCACUGGCCAGUCCCAACUCGGCGGCCAUGUGAGGGAGCCACCGUGGAGGCCAGCUCUCCAGCCCCAGGAGAGCCUUCAGAGGACGGCAGCCCCAGCCCCGCCUCUGCAGCCUCAUGAGAGACCCCAACCCAGAAGCACCUGACCACUCCCAAAUUCCACCCAGACUACUCGCAAAUUCCUGACCCACAGAAACCGUGAGACAUAAUCAAUUACUGCUGUUUUAAGCCACUAAGCUUUGGGGUGAUUUGUUAGGCAGCAACAGAUAACUAACACGGAUGGUAAAACUCACAGAGGGGGACAGAGUUAAAUAAUUCGUCCAGUGUCACACAACUGGCAAGUAGCGGAGCGAGGAUUUGAACCCAGCCCAUCUGCUCCAGAGCCCGUGCCUCUAACCACUCCACUAUGCUCCCUGCUCUGGCCGCUUCCGCAAGAGAGUCAGUUAGUGUUUACCUGUAUCCAUCCCCCUUUACGCCAGACCUCACCUACGGUAACUCAUUUCACUCGUCCAGCAACUCGGCAAACACGUAUUAUUCUGUCCGGUUUAUUCUUCUAUUAAAGUGUAAUUAGCCAAGUAAUGCAUGAACACAUUUCUCCCUUAGGAAACUCCCAGUAGUAGGUGAGAUCUCUAAACCUCCUUAGAGCUCUCCCUCCCCGGGUCCAGGCCUCUCUCCCAAACCGACAACGGCAGUUUGGUGGGUACCUUUCCAGACGUUUUCGGUAGUCAUUUCAUUCACAUUUAUGUCCCCCAAAAAACCACAUAUGAGAGCAACUACAGAGUUAAGUCUCACAAAAUAAUGUCGAGCAGGACACCAGUCACAACAGAAUACGUUGUGCGACUCCUUCAACGGAAAGACAAAACACAGGCAAAAUCAUACUCCAGUGUUCAGGGUUGUAGGCCUAGGGGCAAACUUGUCAAGGAAGCGACCCCAUAAACGCCAGGAUAGCCUCUCUCAGGGGAAAGGUGAGGGGUCACUGCAGAGGCAGGAGGGGAGCUUCCGGCGGGGUCAGGGGACAAUGCCCUAUUCUGACCUCAGAGCUGGCUGUGUGAGGUCAGCUUUGUGAUGGGGCACUAAGCAGGGUAUUUCAUUUUGUGACAUUCUUGCAAGUGUAAUUCAGAAUUUUCAAAGGCUUUGUUUAAGCAAAGAGCUCUCUAUUUUUGUGUUGUAUCAAAUUUAUCAUUCUAUCUUUCUAAACACUGCCCCUGGUCACCCGUAGAUGUCCCCCAUUCUUUCACCAGCAGCAGGAUAUCUGGCCGAGGGAAGAGUCCACAGGCUCUUGGCCUUCUCUUGAGUGCUGGACACUUCCACUGCUUCUAACUUCUCUCUCUGAACAAGAACGAACAUCGGUGCGUGCAUGUGCAUCUCUGCAGGCAUGUCCCCAGCAGCUGGAACUCCUGCGGCAAAGAGCAUGAAUGUCUGUGGUUUUAACAAACGUCGCCAAGAUGUUGUCCCUCGUGGUUGUGCCGCACCUGUCCCACCAGCAUUAUGUGAAGAUCCCCAUGUUCUUACAUCCUUACCAACUCAUGACAUCAUCAAAGUGUUCAAUUUUGGGGCCAUUUCAGGGAAGGAAGCCAGUGCCCCAUUAUUGUCCAUUUCACAGAUGAAGAAACAAAGGCUCAGAGAGCUUAAGCGGUUUGCCUGAGACCACACAGCAAGGAAGUAGCAGCAAGAGGACCUGAAUUCAGAUCUUUCGCCUCCAGUCUCAAGCUCUAGCCCACAAUGGGGUCUUUGCUCCUUAAAGAACAGGUGCUCCUGAGAUUUGCCACAGACACUCCCCAUGCAAGGGGUGAAGGCAACUUGAUGCCCCCGGGGUCACAACCAGGCGAGACGCAUGUGGAGCCUGGCCCCGGGGCUGGCAGGCAGACCACCAUCUGCAUGGAAAUCAUCAGGGAGGAAAGGAGCUUGAAAUGGAAUCGACAAGGUGCUGCCGCCGACUCUGACAGCAAAUUAGAUAAACUUGCAUCUGACACGAUGCAUUUAGAGCAGGGCACGCCGGGUUCUCAGCUGCUCCCCAGCAACAACCCACUGGGAGUGAAAAAUAAAACAAUCUAUGAAGCUACAAAACGCAAUAAUGAAUGAUAACAGGCCCCAGAACAGCAGGGGAGAAUUACUGGAAAAUCAGCUAAGAGCCCAUCAGAAGGGAGGCCUGAGUGGCUGGCGGCAGGAGGUGGUGACAUGUGGCAAAAAGUGGGAAGGAUCUGAAGUCAGAGAUGCCUGGUGUGAAGUGGCUCCUACACCUGCUGGCUAGAUGACCUUAACAAGUUCCUGAAGCUCUCAAAGACUCAGUUUCCUUGACUGUAAAACAGGUGUGAAAAAGGAACAUACCUACCUCCUACCACUGUUAUGAGGAUUAAAUGAGAUAUCGACUGGACAGGGCCCAGGGCCGCCAAGCACAGAAGUUCAGGUUGUGCAUAAGCAAGGACCCUUACCUGAGGCUGUGAGUGGGCUGCAGUCGAACCCACCCUCUAUGCCCAGAGUCGGGGGUUCUCAAAUUUACCAAAGGCAUGACCUUGAAAGGGACUGGCACAUAGUAGGUGUUUGAGAAACCAGAGUGUUGUGAUCACAGCAGCCUGGCUUCCCCCUGGGGGCUCAGGCCGUUAUGACUGUGGCUGUGACAAGUGCUCCUCUCCAGAAUCAAGAGAAAGCCCCACACGAGGGGCCUGAAAGCAAACCUUGCAGGACUGAGCAGAAAGAGUCGUGGUCCCACGGCAGUCCACAUGGGGAAGGCUAGGGCUCCCGCAAGAGCAAGGGAACCAGGAGUCACCUGUCCUGUGCCUGCUCGGAGCUGCCUUGUGCCUGCGGCAUGGUAAGCGCAUCAGGAGAAAGGAGGUGAGGGGCUGGAGUGCCCGCCAGAGCACAGCAGGGGUCAGGGUGGUGGGAGAGCCUGACACCCCCCGUACAGGAACUCUUGACGGUCCAUGUUUGCCGUGUUUACCCCAAAGAGGGGCAGGCAUGGACAGCAGCCCCCUCCACAGGCAGUCCCCUGACAACCUCCACGUCUCUGCUUGUGCGUCGUCUCUGCUUUGUCUGCUUUGUCACCCAUCCUCCCAGGCCCAGCUCAAGUGCCGCCUGCUGGAGAAAACCCUCCCUGGUUCCCCUGGGCCCACACCCAGUCCAGGCUGGAAGGGCUGACUGUAUCUUAACCAUCCCUGGAGCCCCAUCCCCAAAACUGGACACAACUGGCUUUCUAUUUGUCUGAUAAAUUAAUGAAUAAAUGAGUGAGAGAGAGAGCUGGGCCUUUGCCCAGGACCCUACGAAAGAGCCGGGACCCGCAUCCCCAGUCAUCCUUUUAUAAUUAGGACCACCAAGGUCUGAAGUCAGAAAACAGUGUGUUAGGACAGGAGAGGGCUGACAGUUGGGUGUGACGCACCCACCAUUCUCAUGGCCCCAGGGACUGCAUCAGGAGUAGAAUGUGACCCACAGCCCCGGCAGAGGAAUGCCAUGACAGGCACUGCCUGGAGGAUAAUGAGCUCAGGGAAGAAAGCUCCUUGCUACAGAAAGGAGACUCUCUCGAGUCCUUCAGUCUCACUGGAUGACCUGCACUGGAGAACUCACUUCUAUCCAGGGUCCUUUCUAAAGGAACUCAUCAGACAGCACAGUGCCCUGGGCCCCAGGCCAGCCCGGGCUCCACCGACUGAGCUCCCAGGCCGUCCCGGGCCUGAGUCUGCCAGAGCCCCAUCCCGUGGCUGUCCUGCCCUACUCGCCAGUCACUCCCCCUCCAGUCGUGAGCACAGCAAGGGCACGGACCGGGUCUCCUGAGACAUUGCAGUUCCGCCCCAGCACAUCGCAGGAGCUCAGAAACCAUUUCUACUGAAUGAACGGCAGCGAGCUUGAGAGAAAUCAGGAGAGGAGCUCUUCGACUCUGGCCCAAGGUGGCUCUUCACUGGUGUGUGGAUCUGCCACAUGCUACUGUGUGGCCUCGGCAGAAGCCCGAAGAGCUGGGCAGAGCAGGAAGCAGGACGGGGCCGGGGGAAGAGGACCAGGGUCUGUACGAGGCUGCUUUUGCCGCAGCGACAGAGUACUGGCAUCUCAGUGGCUUUCAGGACCAAACGUUUAUUUCUUGUUCUUGUUACGUGAGGGCAGCAGGGCGGCUCAGCUCACCAGGGCUCAGCGGGGCUUGGCCGCACUGGUCUCCCCGUGUCUUCUCCCUCUGGGACCAAGCAGAAGAAACAGCCACUAUCGGGGGCAUUGUGUUCUCAUGACAGAGGGCAGAAGCUAAAGGAGAGCAGAGGUUUACCAAGCUUAGACGUCCCAUCCGCUCGCAUUUCAAGGGUCACCGCCAUCAGCGUGACCAAAUCCAAAGUCUCUGGGGGUGGGGAAGUACACACAGCAUCCAGAGACACGUGGCAGGGGUGGGAGGAAAUGAAUAAUUGUGGAUAAAUAAUACCAUCCAUCACAGUACCUUAUUUUUCACUCCCCAGCCUCCCCGCUCCUCCAUUCCAGAACACAUUCCACGUGGUUUAAGCAGGCCUGCCCACCCCACCACAGGGUAGGCACAUGAUUUAGGCCAGCCAGUUAGAGUACUCUACUCCCCCAGGCCAUGGCGAUUGGCUCAGGAAUGGACAUGUGACACAAACAGGCCAAUGAGAGCCUUCUCUGAGACUUUUCUGCCAGAGCUUUUCUGCAGAAAGACAUGCUCUUCCCUCCAGGGUUGCAAAGCAGGUGGGGUGUGAGCGCAGGACUUACAAGUGGCCACACCAGCCUUCCCAGGGAACAGCAUAGUCCAAUACGGUAGCAAUGAUGGAAGCGUUCUGCACUGCCCAGGACAGUGGCCACUAACACGUAUGUGAAAUGUGGCUGGUACAAAUGAGGAACUGAAAUUUAAAUUUUAUUUUUGGUUUAAUUUAAACCUUAUUUUCACUCAUUUCUGCUUGUAAUCUAAUAGCCCUAUAUAGCUGGUGGGUAACGUAUUGGAUGUAACCAAUACAGAGAGAGUCAAUCCAGGAUAAGAAAGAGCCUUCUGUGACAUUUUUGGGCCCCUAUGUCCAGUUGAACCUGAUGCCACCUAGACUUUGUCAUUUAUAAGAGCAAAUCCAUUGCUUGACUUAAGCUAGUAGGGUUUCCACCAUUAGAAGCAGAAGGAGCCUCAACUAAUGUCAUCAGCAGCAGUAUCAGCUCUGUUUAUUUUGUGCCACUAAGUCCAGGCAUUCAGCUAAGUACAUGUCUCAUCUCAUGGAUCUUUCCAAAUAAGUCUGUGAGCAGCUCGGGAGCCAGGCAGCCUAGGUUCGAAUCCCACCUUUGCCAGUCACUGGCUGUGGGGCUCUGGGCAGAACCCUGCCCUUCGUGCUGUCCCAGUCUCCUUAUCUGCCCCGCGGGGUGACCGCAGGCCCCAGCUCACGGGGCUGUGAAGGCCAAGUGGGUUAUUAAUGGCUACUGCCUACGACAGUGCCAGUCAUAUGGCAAAGGCUCCCUAGCGUUGAGUACAUUUUUAUUCUUUUCAUCCUGAUCUUGCAGGUGGGUAAACUGAGGCGCGCAGAGGGUAAGUCACUUUCAAAGUGCAGAGCUCACAGGGCACGAAGCCGGGACUGGAACAUGGGCCUCUAUGAUUCCAGAGUGUGAACUCUUCACCACAUUAUUCUGUUGGUGGCUUUUCAACCUGUCCAUGGUCGUGAUAAGAGUCAUAUUAAUAAGAGUUAGCACCCAUUCGUGCCCAAGAAUUUAAAUCCUGGACAGUUUUGUUUCAGAGCCUAAGCUUUUAACUCUCAGAGACAACAAAUUGUCCCCUUUUUAAUGCUCCUCCUGUCCUUCUAUCAGCACCAAGGAGGAAGUCUCUGCUCAGCACUGCUGGGUCUUCAGUGCCUCCCUGGCACUUGCUCAAGGAGAGAGCAGCCUCAGGCUCAGAGCAGUCCAUACUACCUGGAGGAGAUUUAAUAGGCCCUCUGCUUAACCUCUGUGCUAUAUGCCCCAGGCAUAUGCAGGAAUUCCCUCUCCAUACAGCUACUAUGGCUCCCUAUGGCCAAAAAGUCAGUGGUUAGAGAGGGGAGGCCUCGGCUUCAGGGAGCCUACAGAGGCGACCAACAGUGAGCCAGGCUCUCAUGCAGGCCCAGGUAAGUUUCAGAGGGUGAUGGACGGCAGGCACCCGGGGGCCAGCAGCCUUCUGUGACACCACCAGCUGUCACACAGCCUGCAUCAGCUGAGGGACACACUCUCAAUCCCGGGAGGGGAGCUGCAGAGAGUGCCUUGCCUCACAGCAUGGGUUCAGGAGCCAAAGCCCCAUCUGAGCUCCCUCUGCACCACGCCCCACCCAGGGGCCUUCGGCGGGCCCUGUCCUUUCUGGGCCUCAGGCUCCUCAUCUGAGAAAGAGAGAUAAAAAUACCUACCCCCAAAGAAUUGUCCUCAGACGCAAAAGAGUCUUGAGAAAGCAGUGUAUGAAGAACCAAACAAAUGUGAACUGCUGCCAUUUUCACUGUUUGCACAUAAGUGUAUUCUAUGGCAGCAAUCUUCUUAUCCACCUGAGGAGGCCACUGCCUAAAGCCGUGCCUGGCACAGCAGAGGCAUCAAUGAAUAUCUGUUACACGGAUGUUUUAUAGAUGAUAGGAGCACACAGGAGGAGUGGCUAACCACCUCUCUGAGGGACAAGGAAGCUUUAUCAAGGAGGCAUUAUUGACCUUGAGGUAAGGCUUGAAGGACAUGUAGGAGACCCCUAUAAGUCUCCAGGUGGCCUGCCAAGCACACAAUACUGAGGCCUUGCUGCCCUCUUGCAUACUGCACAUCCACUGGGAAGCAGGCGGUUACGACCAAGCAUGAGCGGACAGAGGACUUCACACUGUUUGUGAGCUGUGGAGACAGAGCAGGGCAUGGUCAGGUACACCAGGUCACAGCUGGAGGGAGCCUCACGGCCUUGAAGGAAGAGGAAGAAGGAAUUUUCCAGGAGGACCAGGUGGGGGCCAUUUCAGAAGGGAACUGUGCAUAAAAGGCACAGAGGCAUGAAGAAGCUCUUAGAGGAGGGUAGUGAGGUGUUCGUCUGUGGUUCUGCCUGCCAGCAUCCAAGCUCCCAGCUCCGGUAGCAGCAUCUUGACUUUCCUUUGGGGACCACAAAAGGUUCAUGAGGUCCAUGAGGUUCUGUUGAGGCUGACCCCACCCCCAGCUCCAGAGAUGAGUGGAUGACCCAUGCCCAGCCUGGCGGAGCCACAUCCCACACGAUGGCAGGCUUAGGGGUGGCAAGUGACCCAAACCUGGCUAAUGAGCCCUUGCUGGGAGGUUUACUGGUGCUAAAGUGGGGGGAUAAAAACAUGGAGCUGUUGGGGGCUACCACAUGAAGAGGGCUGCCUGGAGUGAAGCCAACUAAGGAAGGAGAACUCUGGGAGAUAGAGAGGAAAAAAAUAAAACCAGAAACGGAAGGAGAGACAAAAGGAGGUACAGAGAAACAGAGAGAGACACUGAAUCCUGUCAACAUCAUAUGAGCGCCUGGAUCUAACUGAACCUGAAGCCAUCCUACCUCUUCACUCACAUAAGCCAAUAAAAAUUCGUCUUUUUGCUUAA